UGUGCCCCAAACCCCCUGCCAUUCCCUGAUGGCGCCCCCUCCAUUAAUGGCCUGUCUCUCUCUCUCCCCCUCUGCCCCGAUCCCAGUCGGGAAUAAGAGUGAGGAUCCGUCCCGGAGGAAGGUGGAGUUUGCCGACGCUAAGCGCUUCAGUGAGCAAAUGGGCAUCUGUCUUUUUGAGACCAGUGCAAAGGAGAACUCUAACGUGGAGGAGAUGUUCAACGCUGUCACCUACUUGGUGCUGAAGUGCAAAAAAGACAAUCUCGCUCGCCUGAACCAACAGCAGAACGAGGUGGUGAAGAUCAACAAAACUAAGAAGAAGCCAGCAGUCAAGAAAUGCUGCUGACCAAGGAGGGGGGGGAGUGGGUGGGUGGGAAUGUGUCCGGGAGACUCAGGGGAGGGGUGACGUGGGCUUCUCAACGUUGUUCUGACUCCUCCCCCUGUCGUCGUCUCCUGAGUUGGCUCUGCAAGAGAUACGUUUAGAAAGACCGCACUUUCCCCGAAUCCCCACCGGAUGACAAUGCCUAGUGACUGCACGUGACGGGGCCCGACAAGGCAUGGGGUGUGUGUGUGUAUAUAAUAUACGUAUGUAUAUAAAUAUAAAAACCUCAUUGGGGCCAGGGGGAGACUAAACACCUGCUGUUUUACACUACCCAAUACUGCGGGCCACUCCUUAUCCUGGCCCUCCAGUUAGCCAAUUAACCCAAACACUACUUCAUGUCCGUGGUGACCCAGUGGAGCUGUCGGGCUCCAGUUCAUCUUUUAUUUCGUCAAGUGACUCUGUCCUGGUUGGGGCGGUUCAGAGAUAGGAAUGUGUGCUCUGCAGGGUGGGUUGAGAGUGUGGCGGGAUGUUCGGUGGGGGGAAUCUCUACUGCAAUACCGUAAACCCUACUCAUUAUUUUUUCAGUUUGCGGAUUGGUGCUGCACAGUCUGAUAUACCGCACACCCCUCGCUGUAACACCCUGAUAUACCGCACACCCCUCGCUGUAACACCCUGCUAUACCCCACACCCCCUCACUGUAACACCGAUAUACCCCACACCCCUUACUGUAACACCCUGAUAUACCCCACACCCCUCACUGUAACACCCUGAUAUACCCCACACCCCCUCACUGUAACACCCUGAUAUACCCCUCACCCCUCUCUAACACUGAUAUACACCACACCCCUCACUAACACCGAUAUACCCCACACCCCUCACUGUAACACUGAUAUAUCCCACACACCUCACUGUAACACACUGAUAUACCCCUCACUGUAACACAGAUAUACCCCACACCACUCACUGUACCACACUGAUAUACCCAAUACCCCUCUCUGUAACACAGAUAUACCCCUCACAGAAACACUGAUAUAUCCCACACUCUUCACUGUGACACACUGAUAUAUCCCACACCCCACACUGUAACACCCUGAUAAACCGCACACCCCUCACUGUAACACCCCGAUAUACCCCACACCCAUCACUGUAAUAUUCCCUCCCUCUCAUUGAGAGCGUGAGGUUGUGGGGGCAGACUUAAGGACCCCACCUACCCUCUAGACAAACCGCAGUGACGAGAUGUGAGGCACACCAAGGCUGAACAGCUGCCCGCGUCUCGCUGACAGACCCCAGGGUCUCUUCCUUCCCCACUGCCCCCCAACAACCAGACAGGAGUCACCGAUGAACUCAUCCCAUUCUGGGGCGCUUGGACUAAUUCUCUCUCACUAACAUCUUAUUUUUUUAAUUUUUCCAAACUGGAACGAGCUGUAAUAUUUGUAAAGGAUCGAUAUUUGUUUCUCUCUUGAUUUUGAAUCGAAACAAAAAAAAAAUCACUGGCGUGUGAAAUUUAUAAACUUCCAUUCAGGACCUAA